UUGACUAAAUUCGACACUCAUUUACCUCCAUACAAAAACUCCUUGCUUGGUGAGCGAAACAACGAAAAAACGCCACCUGCUGUAUGUAGGGAGGCAGAUUUUCCGCCGAGUUGGGCCUCGCUUUCUCUUCCUGUACUCACCAACAUAUCUUUCUGCGUUGAAUAUUAAACAGAUAAGGACGCAUCAUGGGGCGGCGCUGUUUAGCGUGCAGUAAAAUCCAAACCAAAGCACAUGCGACACGAACACAGCAACAAAAAAAACGGUCACUGCUGCAAUCCAAUUUGAAUAUAAUCAGUGCCAAUCAUCGUUGUUGGAGAAGUGGACCAUCCCUUUUAUUCCACCUGU
rnacentral:lncRNA from 1 species